GCCUAACACAUGCAAGUCGAACGGUAACAGGAAUCAGCUUGCUGAUUCGCUGACGAGUGGCGGACGGGUGAGUAAUGUCUGGGAAACUGCCUGAUGGAGGGGGAUAACUACUGGAAACGGUAGCUAAUACCGCAUAACGUCGCAAGACCAAAGAGGGGGACCUUCGGGCCUCUUGCCAUCGGAUGUGCCCAGAUGGGAUUAGCUAGUAGGUGGGGUAACGGCUCACCUAGGCGACGAUCCCUAGCUGGUCUGAGAGGAUGACCAGCCACACUGGAACUGAGACACGGUCCAGACUCCUACGGGAGGCAGCAGUGGGGAAUAUUGCACAAUGGGCGCAAGCCUGAUGCAGCCAUGCCGCGUGUAUGAAGAAGGCCUUCGGGUUGUAAAGUACUUUCAGCGGGGAGGAAGGGAGUAAAGUUAAUACCUUUGCUCAUUGACGUUACCCGCAGAAGAAGCACCGGCUAACUCCGUGCCAGCAGCCGCGGUAAUACGGAGGGUGCAAGCGUUAAUCGGAAUUACUGGGCGUAAAGCGCACGCAGGCGGUUUGUUAAGUCAGAUGUGAAAUCCCCGGGCUCAACCUGGGAACUGCAUCUGAUACUGGCAAGCUUGAGUCUCGUAGAGGGGGGUAGAAUUCCAGGUGUAGCGGUGAAAUGCGUAGAGAUCUGGAGGAAUACCGGUGGCGAAGGCGGCCCCCUGGACGAAGACUGACGCUCAGGUGCGAAAGCGUGGGGAGCAAACAGGACUAGAUACCCUGGUAGUCCACGCCGUAAACGAUGUCGACUUGGAGGUUGUGCCCUUGAGGCGUGGCUUCCGGAGCUAACGCGUUAAGUCGACCGCCUGGGGAGUACGGCCGCAAGGUUAAAACUCAAAUGAAUUGACGGGGGCCCGCACAAGCGGUGGAGCAUGUGGUUUAAUUCGAUGCAACGCGAAGAACCUUACCUGGUCUUGACAUCCACAGAACUUUCCAGAGAUGGAUUGGUGCCUUCGGGAACUGUGAGACAGGUGCUGCAUGGCUGUCGUCAGCUCGUGUUGUGAAAUGUUGGGUUAAGUCCCGCAACGAGCGCAACCCUUAUCCUUUGUUGCCAGCGGUCCGGCCGGGAACUCAAAGGAGACUGCCAGUGAUAAACUGGAGGAAGGUGGGGAUGACGUCAAGUCAUCAUGGCCCUUACGACCAGGGCUACACACGUGCUACAAUGGCGCAUACAAAGAGAAGCGACCUCGCGAGAGCAAGCGGACCUCAUAAAGUGCGUCGUAGUCCGGAUUGGAGUCUGCAACUCGACUCCAUGAAGUCGGAAUCGCUAGUAAUCGUGGAUCAGAAUGCCACGGUGAAUACGUUCCCGGGCCUUGUACACACCGCCCGUCACACCAUGGGAGUGGGUUGCAAAAGAAGUAGGUAGCUUAACCUUCGGGAGGGCGCUUACCACUUUGUGAUUCAUGACUGGGGUGAAGUC
rnacentral:rRNA from 1 species